AUAAAGGUAAGCUAAAACAAGCUAAUGGGUUCAUACCCCAUUAAUAAAGGCUUCAACCCUUUCCUUUUUA
rnacentral:tRNA from 1 species